UCCAAUCGAACUCGGAGAUAGCUGGUUCUCCCCGAAAUAGCUUUAGGGCUAGCGUCGGAUAUGUGUAGUGGAGGUAGAGCACUGAAUGGGCUAGGGGGCAUAUCGCUUACCGAACCUUAUCAAACUCCGAAUGCCAUAUACAUUUAGUCCGGCAGUCAGACUACGAAUGAUAAGAUCCGUGGUCAAAAGGGAAACAGCCCAGAUCGUCAGCUAAGGUCCCAAAGUGUAAGUUAAGUGGAAAAGGAUGUGGGAUUUCUAAGACAACUAGGAUGUUGGCUUAGAAGCAGCCACUCAUUUAAAGAGUGCGUAAUAGCUCACUAGUCGAGAGAUCCUGCGCCGAAAAUGUCCGGGGCUCAAACUUACCACCGAAGCUACGGGCUUGCGUAAGCAAGCGGUAGGGGAGCGUCGUAAUCGGGCUGAAGUCGUACCGUAAGGAGCGGUGGACUGAUUACGAGUGAGAAUGUUGGCAUUAGUAGCGAGAUGUAGGUGAGAAUCCUACAGGCCGAAUAUCUAAGGUUUCCUCAGGAAGGCUCGUCCGCUGAGGGUUAGUCGGGACCUAAGCCGAGGCCGAAAGGCGUAGGCGAUGGACAACAGGUUGAUAUUCCUGUACCACUACCAUCGUUAUUAUCGAGGGUGUGACGGAGAAGGAUAGUGUGUGCUAGCGAUUGGAAAUGCUAGUCUAAGCGUUUAGGGAGUUACGGUAGGCAAAUCCGCUGUAACAAUUCUGAGGCGUGAUGGGGAAGGCCAUAUAGGCCGAAGUACAUGAUUCCAUGCUUCCAAGAAAAGCAUCUAGAGAGAGAAGUAGUGCCCGUACCGCAAACCGACACAGGUAGAUGAGGAGAGAAUCCUAAGGCCGGCGGAAGAAUUGCAGUUAAGGAACUAGGCAAAUUGACCCCGUAAGUUCGCGAGAAGGGGUGCCUGCGAGAGCAGGCCGCAGAGAAUAGGCCCAAGCAACUGUUUAGCAAAAACACAGGUCUCUGCUAAAGCGCAAGCUGAUGUAUAGGGGCUGACGCCUGCCCGGUGCUGGAAGGUUAAGGGGAACACUUAGCGCAAGCGAAGGUGUGAACUUAAGCCCCAGUAAACGGCGGCCGUAACUAUAACGGUCCUAAGGUAGCGAAAUUCCUUGUCAGGUAAGUUCUGACCCGCACGAAUGGCGUAAUGACUUGGGCACUGUCUCAACUGCAAAUCCGGCGAAGUUGUAGUGCGAGUGAAGAUGCUCGCUACCCGCGAUUGGACGGAAAGACCCCGUAGAGCUUUACUGUAGCUUAGCAUUGAAUUCCGGUAUUGUCUGUACAGGAUAGGUGGGAGACUGGGAAACUAGGGCGUCAGCCUUAGUGGAGUCAUCCUUGGGAUACCACCCUGACAGUACUGGGGUUCUAACAGGAUGCCAUGAAUCUGGUGACUGGACAUUGUUAGGUGGGCAGUUUGACUGGGGCGGUCGCCUCCUAAAAAGUAACGGAGGCGCCCAAAGGUUCCCUCAGAACGGUCGGAAAUCGUUCGUAGAGUGCAAAGGCAGAAGGGAGCCUGACUGCGAGACCUACAAGUCGAGCAGGGACGAAAGUCGGGCUUAGUGAUCCGGUGGUACCUCGUGGGAGGGCCAUCGCUCAACGGAUAAAAGCUACCUCGGGGAUAACAGGCUGAUCUCCCCCAAGAGUCCACAUCGACGGGGAGGUUUGGCAC
rnacentral:rRNA from 1 species